rnacentral:rRNA from 1 species
UACGUAGGUGGCGAGCGUUGUCCGGAUUUACUGGGCGUAAAGAGCGCGCAGGCGGUCGUAUAAGUCGCGUGUGAAAGCCCCCGGCUCAACUGGGGAGGGUCACGCGAUACUGUUCGACUCGAAGGCAGGAGAGGGAAGUGGAAUUCCCGGUGUAGUGGUGAAAUGCGUAGAUAUCGGGAGGAACACCAGUGGCGAAGGCGGCUUUCUGGCCCGUUCUUGACGCUGAGGCGCGAAAGCUAGGGUAGCAAACGGG